GCCCAGCACCGAAUCCUUCACCAUUCUGGUGACAGGAAAUGUGGUGUUUAGGCCGUACUUUGUCCUGAUACGUCUCUCCUCAAGUCCACUUGAUUGUGGCCCCCGGCCCAGAGAGGGUGUAAGGCCCGUGGAGGCGAGAUGUUCAGUGCCUGGUGCGUCCUUAGAGUCGGGUUGUUUGGGAAUGCAGCCCUAAGCGGGUGGUAAACUCCAUCCAAGGCUAAAUACCAGCACGAGUCCGAUAGCGAAGAAGUACCGCGAGGGAAGGUUGAAAAGAACUUUGAAGAGAGAGUUCAAGAGUACGUGAAACCGCUGAGAGGCAAACUGGUGGAACUGAAAUGGUCCCGAGGAAUUCAGCCGUUGGUGGUUGUACAGUCGGUGGUGUCUGAUUUAACGACAGCUCCAUCGGAUGUCGCUUCUAUCAUCGGUGCACUUUCCUCGUUACGGGCCCGACCACGACCGGUGAGCUGCUCUGUCCAUCGUGUUUGGAAGGUAGCGCCAUCUUCGGAAGGCGUGUUAUAGACUUGCACAUGGAGCAGUACGGCACACUGGACGAUAGUGCCUGCCCUUGGGCUCAUAUGGUGGCUGUUUUACUGGCGAGUUCCGAUGUCACUACUUCGGUAGAGGCGUUGGACUCUGUCAGCAUUAUGGUUGUCCUCUAUGAUUGGCACUGGUAAGUCUGUGGUUGUGAAGUAGGUAGUCCACCUGACCCGUCUUGAAACACGGACCAAGGAGUCUAACAUGUGCGCGAGUCAUUGGGUUCACGAAACCUAAAGGCGCAGUGAAGGUAAAGAUCUGCUUUGGCAGAUUGAGGUGGGAUGCUGGGUUACGCGCCCAGCCGCACUACCGGCCCGUUCUACAUGUAUCUCAUGGGGGCGGAGCAAGAGCGUACACGUUGGGACCCGAAAGAUGGUGAACUAUGCUUGCGCAGGUCGAAGCCAGAGGAAACUC
rnacentral:rRNA from 1 species